rnacentral:rRNA from 1 species
UUCCGGUUGAUCCUGCCGGACCCCACUGCUAUCGAGGUGGGACUAAGCCAUGCCAGUCGAACGACCCGGACUAUGGCGGGGAGUGGCAGACUGCUCAGUAACACGUAGCUAACCUACCCUCGGGACGGGGAUAACCCCGGGAAACUGGGGCUAAUACCCGAUAGGUAUGGAUUCCUGGAAUGGCGCCAUGCCUAAACGUAAGCACAUCCAUGUUUGUGUGCACGCCCGAGGAUGGGGCUGCGGCCGAUCAGGCAGUUGGUGAGGUAACGGCUCACCAAACCUUUGACCGGUACGGGCCAUGAGAGUGGUAGCCCGGAGAUGGGCACUGAGACAAGGGCCCAGGCCCUACGGGGCGCAGCAGGCGCGAAACCUCCACAAUUCACGCAAGUGAGAUGGGGUUACCUCGAGUGCUAUCUGAAGAAGGUGGCUUUUCCAUGGUGUAAUGAGCCGUGGGAAUAAGGGGGGGGCAAGACUGGUGUCAGCCGCCGCGGUAACACCAGCCCCCCGAGUGGUGGGGAUGAUUAUUUGGCCUAAAGCGUCCGUAGCCAGCUCGGUAAAUCUCUCGUUAAAUCCAGCGUCCUAAGCGUUGGGCUGCGAGGGAAACUGCCGAACUAGAGGGUGGGAGAGGUCAGCGGUAUUCCUGGGGUAGGGGCGAAAUCCAUUGACCCCAGGAGGACCACCAGUGGCGAAGGCUGCUGACUAGAACACGCCUGACGGUGAGGGACGAAAGCUGGGGUAGCGAAUCGGAUUAGAUACCCGAGUAGUCCCAGCCGUAAACGAUGCAGGCUAGGUGUUGGGUCGGCCAUGCGCCGCCUCAGUGCCACAGGGAAGCCAUUAAGCCUGCCGCCUGGGGAGUACGGCCGCAAGGCUGAAACUUAAAGGAAUUGGCGGGGGAGCACCACCAGGCAUGAAGCCUGCGGUUUAAUUGGAGUCAACGCCGG